GUAGACGUUAGCUCAGUGGUUAGAGCACAGGCCUCUGGCUCUCGGGUCCGCGAGUUCGAGUCGCGUCGUUUACU
rnacentral:tRNA from 1 species